GUACACACCGCCCGUCACACCAUGGGAGUCGGGAAUGCCCGAAGUCAGUGGCCCAACCGGAAGGGGGGAGCUGCCGAAGGCAGGCCCGGUGACUGGGGUGAAGUCGUAACAAGGUAUC
rnacentral:rRNA from 1 species